rnacentral:rRNA from 1 species
GAUGAACGCUGGCGGCGUGCUUAACACAUGCAAGUCGAACGGAAAGGCCCAAGCUUGCUUGGGUACUCGAGUGGCGAACGGGUGAGUAACACGUGGGUGAUCUGCCCUGCACUUCGGGAUAAGCCUGGGAAACUGGGUCUAAUACCGGAUAGGACCACUUCUUGGAUGUUGUGGUGGAAAGUUUUUUCGGUGUGGGAUGAGCUCGCGGCCUAUCAGCUUGUUGGUGGGGUAAUGGCCUACCAAGGCGUCGACGGGUAGCCGGCCUGAGAGGGUGUACGGCCACAUUGGGACUGAGAUAAGGCCCAGACUCCUACGGGAGGCAGCAGUGGGGAAUAUUGCACAAUGGGCGCAAGCCUGAUGCAGCGACGCCGCGUGGGGGAUGACGGCCUUCGGGUUGUAAACUCCUUUCGCUAGGGACGAAGCGUUUUGUGACGGUACCUGGAGAAGAAGCACCGGCUAACUACGUG